GAGAGAGCACAGCAGCUGCAUGCCUGGUUGCUUCACUCCAGAGGUCCUCUCCCGCAGCUGGUCUCGCUGUGGGUACGCGGGAAGGGCCAGGCCCUGCCCCCACUCCCGCCCCCAGCGCGCCCCAGAGCCGGGUGGGGCGCACGCGCAAACAGCUCCCCGGGGACGGUUCCGGGGACCCAGUCUUCCGCCCCGGCGCCGAGAGGGGCGCGUUCUCUCCGCAGCUAGGACGCAUCCGCCUGGGCAUUGCCCUCUCCCCGCCCACCUUGUUCGGUUUGGUUCGGUUCUGCAGGAAGGGGCCGCGUGACUUUCGGCCACUCUGACUCCGUGGCCAGCAGGGGGCGCUGCGCUGCAGCGAGCCCGCCGGUCCCGGUCCUUUCCUGCCGCUCAAGGCGCUGCAGAGCCGGGUCGCGGGCGCCCCCUCAUGGGGAGGCUCAGAGGGUCCGGGUUCCCCCUGGGGCUUUUCCAUCGCUGUGUAAGACGCGCACCCGGCACCGUCCUGCUCGCUCUUUUACUCGCCCCGAAUCCUGCCUGUGCCUCCCCGCGUCUGUCUGAGCCGGCGUCAGCCCGCCCACAGACUCCGGGAGCCCCUACGGGGCCCGCCGUGCGGUGACAAAGGGCUGAGGGAACCCUUGGGCCCCGCCCUCCUCUCUGGGGAGUGAGAGCCCUAUGGGAUAGACAGCACCAAGGCAGAGAGGACUGUGGUGAGCUCUGCUUGGCAAGGACUUCAGCUCUGCUUGGUAAGCGCUUGGGGUAUCACCAGGGACACCCUGCGCACUUACAGGUUCUCCUCCUCCAGCAGGGGACACUCUUUAAAAACUCAGACCUAGUGCCACAACCCGUGCAGCUCUUGAGGCUCCUGGGGUGAAGAACCGUGAGAGGAUGAGAAGCAGGGUGUAAGAAGCAGGCUAGUUCAGCACAGGGCCGUAAUAAAUAGUCCACUGGGAACGUAGAGCUCUCAUGGACACCCACAAGCCAGGUGCUUGUCUCUAUGUCUGUCCAAUCUGUAUAGAUCAUCUUUCAUCUGUCCGUAUUUGUCCACUUGGCCCUUCUGUAAGUGAGGGGCCACCAGUUAACCCAAACAGGGUCAUCAGACAUCUAAGAUACCGUGGACACCGUCCAUGAGGUUGGAGAAGAGAUCAAGGCCCCUCCUAAAAAUGUGAAGGUAUCUACCUGCUCAGAAAGCAUGAAAAUGGACCUGCUGACUUACUGGGAAAGUCUCAGAGCUUGAUUUCCUUCCAGCCAGUUCUUAAGAAUGGAAUGGGAGCCAGGCAAGGUGGCACACACCUGUGAACCCAGCACUCAGGAGGCUGAAGCAGGAGGAUUGCUGUAACUUCGAGAUCAGCCUGAGCUACGAAAUGACUUUAAGACCAGAGCGAACUACACAGCAAGACCCUGUCUCAAAAAGACAAAAAAAAAGGAAAAUGAGGAAAAAAGCAAGAUCUAUCUUGUACAGGUACAAACUUCCCAUGAUGACUGUGAUCAUUAUCUAAAAUAUCUAAAUAGUAUCUAAAAAAAUCUAAAAUCAGCUUAAAAAGUAAGAAAAAUUAAAAACUCAAAAUUAGAAAGAAAAACGCCACACAGCUCAUUUCUAAUUGAAAUUCCCCACCUGAAGUGAGGCAUUUCUUCAGUGCCUUUGGAAUUUGGGUUCCAGGGUCAGCUGUAGCCUCUGAGUCAACUCGAUGUCACCUCAUCCAUGGUGACAGACCUCUGUAUGCCGGCCAGAAGUUCAACUUGUACUAACUAAGGAGGGAAAUUGUACAGCGUUUACAAGGGAUGAUGCUUACAGCACUUUAACCCGUGGUUCUUUUCAGCGCCUGGAACCAAACCUGGAGGGUGCUGCCCGCAUCCUGUGUUCUUUUUAUUUUGAGAUGGGUUUUGCUGAAUUGCCCAGGUCGACCUCCAAGUUGGAACCCUACCGCCUCAGCCUCCUGGUAAUUGGGAGACAAGCAUGCAUUCGUGUCCUGAUCCAGUGUGGUGUGGCGAGUGGGCCCCAGGAGGACCAGCCAACUCCUUAGGAGACAGGCACGGUGGUUCGGGCGGAACACAGUGGGGCGGAACUGAGUCGUGAGGCUUUGGGAACAGUGAGAAGAGAGAGGAACCACAGCUGCGCACCCGCAUCCAAGGAGCAAGCGGAGCCCACGAGUGAGCUCUAAUUCGCUGCCUGCUCACUGAAUGGGGGCGGGGGGGGGGGGACACAUAGAUUUCCUCUUAAAGCUUUCAGCCCACCCACAGAGACACCCUUUGUUUGUACCGGGAUUGAACUCAGGACCUUGCACUUGCCAGGCAGGUGCUUAGGCCCCUGAGCUAUGUCCCAGCCACAAAAACAUUUUAAAAAUCAUAAAAAUUUCAGAAAUCUAAA